rnacentral:rRNA from 1 species
GAAGAGUUUGAUCAUGGCUCAGAUUGAACGCUGGCGGCAGGCCUAACACAUGCAAGUCGAACGGUAACAGGAAGCAGCUUGCUGCUUUGCUGACGAGUGGCGGACGGGUGAGUAAUGUCUGGGAAACUGCCUGAUGGAGGGGGAUAACUACUGGAAACGGUGGCUAAUACCGCAUAACGUCGCAAGACCAAAGAGGGGGACCUUCGGGCCUCUUGCCAUCAGAUGUGCCCAGAUGGGAUUAGCUUGUUGGUGAGGUAACGGCUCACCAAGGCGACGAUCCCUAGCUGGUCUGAGAGGAUGACCAGCCACACUGGAACUGAGACACGGUCCAGACUCCUACGGGAGGCAGCAGUGGGGAAUAUUGCACAAUGGGCGCAAGCCUGAUGCAGCCAUGCCGCGUGUAUGAAGAAGGCCUUCGGGUUGUAAAGUACUUUCAGCGGGGAGGAAGGUGUUGUGGUUAAUAACCGCAGCAAUUGACGUUACCCGCAGAAGAAGCACCGGCUAACUCCGUGCCAGCAGCCGCGGUAAUACGGAGGGUGCAAGCGUUAAUCGGAAUUACUGGGCGUAAAGCGCACGCAGGCGGUCUGUCAAGUCGGAUGUGAAAUCCCCGGGCUCAACCUGGGAACUGCAUUCGAAACUGGCAGGCUUG